GGGUGACAGGUGGUGCGAUGGUUGUCGUCAGCUCGUGUCGUGAGAUGUUGGUUAAGUCCCGCAACGAGCGCAACCCUCGACCUUAGUUGCCAGCAUUCAGUUGGGCACUCUAAGGUGACUGCCGGCUAAAAAGUCGGAGGAAGGUGGGGAUGACGUCAAAUCAUCAUGCCCCUUAUGACCUGGGCUACACACGUGCUACAAUGGGCGGUACAAAGGGUCGCGAACCCGCGAGGGGGAGCCAAUCCCAAAAAGCCGCUCUCAGUUCGGAUUGCAGGCUGCAACUCGCCUGCAUGAAGCCGGAAUCGCUAGUAAUCGCGGAUCAGCAUGCCGCGGUGAAUACGUUCCCGGGCCUU
rnacentral:rRNA from 1 species